AGGGAAUCUUCCGCAAUGGACGAAAGUCUGACGGAGCAACGCCGCGUGAGUGAAGAAGGCCUUCGGGUCGUAAAGCUCUGUUGCCGGGGAAGAACAAGUGCCGUUCGAACAGGGCGGUGCCUUGACGGUACCCGGCCAGAAAGCCACGGCUAACUACGUGCCAGCAGCCGCGGUAAUACGUAGGUGGCAAGCGUUGUCCGGAAUUAUUGGGCGUAAAGCGCGCGCAGGCAGCUCCUUAAGUCUGAUGUGAAAUCUUGCGGCUCAACCGCAAGCGGUCAUUGGAAACUGGGAGGCUUGAGUGCAGAAGAGGAGAGUGGAAUUCCACGUGUAGCGGUGAAAUGCGUAGAGAUGUGGAGGAACACCAGUGGCGAAGGCGGCUCUCUGGUCUGUAACUGACGCUGAGGCGCGAAAGCGUGGGAGCAAAC
rnacentral:rRNA from 1 species